AACGAACGCUGGCGGCGUGCCUAACACAUGCAAGUCGAACGCGAAAGGGGGCAACCCCCGGUAGCGUGGCAGACGGGUGAGUAACACGUGGGUAACCUACCCGGAGGUGGGGGAUAACCCUUCGAAAGGAGGGCUAAUACCGCAUGACAUCGCGGGGACUUCGGUCCUUGCGAUCAAAGCUGGCCUCUGUUUACAAGCUAGCGCCACCGGAUGGGCCCGCGCCCCAUUAGCUAGUUGGUGAGGUAACGGCUCACCAAGGCGACGAUGGGUAGCCGGCCUGAGAGGGCGAUCGGCCACACUGGAACUGCGACACGGUCCAGACUCCUACGGGAGGCAGCAGUGAGGAAUAUUGCGCAAUGGGCGAAAGCCUGACGCAGCGACGCCGCGUGGAGGAUGAAGGUCUUCGGAUUGUAAACUCCUGUCGAGUGGGACGAAUGCCGUGAGGGUGAAUACCCCUCGCGGUUGACGGUACCGCUGGAGGAAGCCCCGGCUAACUCCGUGCCAGCCGCCGCCGUAA
rnacentral:rRNA from 1 species